rnacentral:lncRNA from 1 species
CUGAAUUGUAACAUUACCCAUUUCAAACUAUGCCUUAUCUUAAGUCAAGCUGAACCUAAUGUUAAUACGUUUGCUGCUUGAUAACAAUUGAAUGUUUAUUACAGUGUCAUGUUUUGUUUUUUGACAAUGAAACUCUAAAUGUUUCAUCUGUAUUUUUCCAUUUCCCCUCCUAGUGACUCUACCUUGUGUUUAAGUGCAGACCGCUUGCCAGUCAGUGUAAGUUUAUACAUGAAUGACAUUUUUAUGAAUAUCACUGUGUGCUUUUAUUGUACACAUUUUACACACACCUCUCUUUCUGUAGUUUCUACACAAUUGAGGUUACUUUCGUACACAUGAUAUUUCAUCACAUGCUUAUGAACAUUAUUAUUAAGGCAAUUAACAUUGAUUUAUAUAAGCAUUCAAGAUAAGUGGGUGAUACAUCUUUUCGUAAAAUACACUGAGCUCGUACAUACAUUUCUUCAUCUAUUUAGUAACAUUUUAUAUGUUCAGCCCUGAUACAUUUUUCAAAAGAUGAUCAAAUAACAAUGCUCAGUUUCAGCAUUUGACUCAACUACACUUUGAAUAGAUGUGUAUUCAGAAUUCCCAUAUGUUACUUUGAAUGAAAGCACAUUAUAAUGACAUUAGUUUCGGGUGAAUGUCGGUUGAUUUCAAUGUUUUUAUUAUAUUUCAUACAAAUUAUUAAUAUUUAUUUCCAUUUUUCUUACAGAUAUCCUGUACUGUCCCUCCACUCUCUCCUAUCAUUUUGGACAUUCUGCCUUUCUAUCUCUCCUCUAUCCAACUCUGACUAUUUGAACAGCUAUUGCCAGCCUUUACAACCUAUUUUGAAAGCCUUUACCACAGCCUUUGACAGCCUUUAAAAACCGUUGUGAAAGCCUUUAAGAAAGGCUUUGACUGCCUUUGACAGCCUUUCUACCACUUUUAGAGCCUUAAAAAGAGGCAUUCAGACACUUUGAGAACACUUUUUGGAAACAAGCUUUUUUUUUCAACUGAUCGCGUGUAAAAGCAAUACUUUUGAAACAGCAAAAUCUUU